UUGGCUUUUGGCAAUGAACGGUGGAGCGUCAUGCAAGUAGCGCCGCAAGGUGCCGUGCGCAUGGGGCGAAGCUUAGUACUUGUUGAUCGCCAUUAGAUGUUGCGGGCAAACUCGGGAGGCGACAUCACUCGUGGCGGCUGAUGGCUUUUGACAACAGAACGGCAAAGCGUCUUGCAAGUAGACGCCAGGACAUGGCCAUGUACGUGUCAGGACGUGUCAGGACAUGGCCAUGUACGUGUCAGGACGUGUCAGGACAUGUCAGGACGUGGCCAUGUACGUGUGCGCCGCAAGGUGCCGUGCGCAUGGGGCGAAUCUUAGUAAGUUUCUGAUUGCCAUCGGUUGUUGUGGAUUGUGUUUGGAAUCUCUCGUGGUGGCUGAUGGCUUUCGAUAAAGAACGAAGGAGCCUCGUGCAAGUAGCGCCGCAAGGUGCCGUGCGCAUGGGGCGAAGCUCAGUAGAUGUCGAUUCCCAUCGGUUGUUGCGGGCAACAUCGUUCAUGGAGGUUGAGGGCUUUCGACGUGGGCGGUUCGCUGCCCGCAACGUCGUGGGAAGUCCAUUGAACCUUAUCGUUUAGAGGAAAGAGAAGUCGUAACAAGGUUUCCGUAGGUGAUCCUGCGGAAGGAUCAUUGUCGAAACCUGCAAGGCAGAACGACCCGCGAACUUGAGGACAUGGCCAUGUACGUCGUAACAAGGUUUCCGUAGGUGAUCCUGCGGAAGGAUCAUUGUCGAAACCUGCAAGGCAGAACGACCCGCGACCUCCGUCCAUGCGGCAUCCUCCUAUGUCCUCUACGCGUGCGCUUGCGUGCGUGCCGGGUGAUUAACGAACCCCGGCGCGGAAAAUGCCAAGGAAUACUAAAUUGAAAGCCUGCCCUUCGCGCCCCGUGCUUCUUUUGAAACACAAACAACUCUCGGCAACAGAUAUCUUGGCUCUCGCAUCGAUGAAGAACGUAGAGAAAUGCGAUACUUGGUGUGAAUUGCAGAAUCCCCUGAACCAUCGAGUCUUUGACCGCAUGUUGCGCCCGAAUCCAUUAGGCUGAAGGCACGUCUGCCUAGGCGUCACGCAUCGCGUCGCCCCCGCACACCGCGCCCAUUCUCAUGGUUGCGGUGCUGUCGUGGGACGGAUACUGGCCUCCUGUGCUCCUCGAGCGUGCGGUUGGCCUAAAUGCGAGUCCACAACGACAUACGUCACGACCAAGUGGUGGUUGAAACUCAACUCUCNNNNNNNNNNNNNNNNNNNNNNNNNNNNNNNNNNNNNNNNNNNNNNNNNNNNNNNNNNNNNCUUGGGUAUAGGGGCGAAAGACUAAUCGAACCGUCUAGUAGCUGGUUCCCUCCGAAGUUUCCCUCAGGAUAGUUGGAGCUCGCGUGCGAGUUCUAUCGGGUAAAGCCAAUUAUUAGAGGCAUCGGGGGCGCAACGCCCUCAACCUAUUCUCAAACUUUAAAUAGGUAGGACGGCGCGGCUGUUUCGUUGAGCCGCGCCACGGAAUCAAGAGCUCCAAGUGGACCUUUUUUGGUAUGCAGAACUGGCGAUGCGGGAUGAACCGUAAGCCGGGUUACGGUGCCAAACUGCGCGCUAACCUAGAUCCCAUAAAGGGUGUUGGUCGAUUAAGACAGCAGGACGGUGGUCAUGGAAGUCGAAAUCCGCUAAGGAGUGUGUAACAACUCACCUGCCGAAUCAACUAGCUAGAUCCCAUAAAGGGUGUUGGUCGAUUAAGACAGCAGGACGGUGGUCAUGGAAGUCGAAAUCCGCUAAGGAGUGUGUAACAACUCAUACGAUGUUCUUAUAUCAUCGUAUGAGCCUCACACAUAGAUAGUUUUGAAAACAUAUUUUUUCAAAAUAGCUACAUGCACUUGGCCCAUUAUAUGACGCCGCGUAGCUUCAAGUAAUUCCCUUACUAGCAACACGCAUAUAAAUUUUACCUUAUGUCGCCACAUGCACAUUAACCCCUAUCGGUAUAUCGCCACAUGUGCAUCAAUAUCACAAAACAAUAACAACUCUCACGAUAAGUGUCCAUAUGCUACAACUUGCCAAAAAUCAACAAUAUCAAUAUUUUUACAAAAAUAGCACAUGGCUCAACCAUAAUGUGUACAAAAAUAUCAACAAUACCGAUAAAUGUGAAUGGAUCAAUAAGGAAGAUAUCUCCACAAUUAACAAAUUUGUCUCAAUGUGAUAGCUGCUUUCACAAUUUCAGUACCAAUAACUUAACAAGAAGAUAUUUUACGAAAUAACAACUUCCAUUAUACCUAAAUCAUCAAUUGAAUGUGUAACAAGGCAAUAUGGAAGACAAUAACUUCAACUAAACAUAUAAGAGAAAAAUAACAAGAGGUAGAACAAGUGUUAACAAAGUCAAGUAAGACAUGUAAGGAUAGACUAACAAAUAUAAGAACAGAUUAAUAAUGAGAACUAACUUAUACGAUAAUUAAAUUAUGGCGUGGAAAAAGUCUAAAUAAAUAUAUAGGUCAAAUACCAUAUAUAACCCAUGUACCCACCCGUCACCUUGUGCACACAGCUUUCACAUAAUACUAAUAGCACGAUCAAUCCCAAUUUCUAAGGGGUAGUUCCCCCAUAUUAAUUUAGGCAAGAUACUUACCUUAAAUAGGCCAAAUCAACCCUCAAAAACAGCUUUUUCCUUAAAAUUCAUCUCCAUAUGGCUCAAAUCUAACCAAAAUUGACUUAAUAUCAUCAAACAAUGCAAGAAAAAAUAAUUAUAAUAGAUAAAGCUAAGAUCUUUACACUUUUGUAAAAAAUUUAAAAAGUCAACUCCGGCCUCGCCCGGUACAAAAUCCAUUCCCAAGGUUAUACUCCGACAACCGAUAACCCCAGGAGUCCUUAUAUGUGAUUAGUUUCAAAAUCCGAAUCCAAAUUGAUUCUCAAAACUCAAAUUCUCUUUUUUUAAAAAUUUGACAAACUUUCACCAUUUUUCCUUUUUGACUCACAUAAAUUUGAUGUUAAAUGUGAGAUAUAAUCAUGAAAUAUAGUUAACAAUUAAUUAGAAUCACUUACCCAAAGUUUUUAGAUUAAAAUCUCCUCUCCAAAUUGCCUCUUAACAAGUUUAGGGUUCUAAAUUGUGAGAAGCGAGACUAAAUCUCGACUAUUCAUUACGACACUAGGUUUGCAAUUGAAAAGAAUGAGGCGUAAUUGCGGCAACUGCCCCGCGUAUAGGGACUUUGCAAAUACGACAAAUGGGUUUGCAAAUGCGAACCUUAUCCCUUUGCAAAUGCGACAAAUUAAUCGCUAGUGCAAAAAACCAAGUUAAGCCUAAUCUUCACAAUGCGAACAAGGUGUCACAAUUGCAACACUUGAGACCCCCCCCCCCCCCACAAAUUAAUCGCUAGUGCAAACAAACCAAGUUAAGCUUAAUCUUCACAAAUGCGAACAAGGUGUCACAAUCGCAACACUUGAGACCCCCAUGCUAUGUUCGCAAAUGCAAGGUUGGUGCUUGCAAUUGCGACAUCAGUGAACCAACACAUCAGAUGUUUUUGUUUCAACUUAAAAUAUUCCGCGACGCGUCUGAUACUCAUCCGAGCCCUCGGUGCUUCUAACAAAAUAUUCACACAAGUCUAAAAAUAUUAUACGUAACUCGCUCAAUUAAAACAAAAAAAUAACAUCUAGAACUACGAAUCAGACACCAAAACGCAUGAAUUACAAAGUAAAUUUCAAGGACUUCUAUACUUGCUAUUGACUCCUAUCAAAUCAACACCAAAUUUUGUAUAAAAAUUCUAAUUAGCAUAGCAGAUUUAUUCCAAGUCCCAAGAUAAAAUUCCGAAUAUAAUUGCCAAAAAGCUAACCUACAGUCAAACUUCUAAACUUUAAAGUAUCAAUUUUCGGCAAAACUACACAAAUCAACCUAUGGACUUCUGAAUACGAUUCCGGGCAUAUGGCCAUGUCCAAAAUCACAAUACAAAGCUAUCAGAGCCAUAAAUAAUGAAAGGGUCCAUAUCAACGUGGUCAUAUGGCCAUGUCCAAAAUCAAAAUACAAAGCUAUCAGAGCCAUAAAAAUACCGUUCUGGGGCCAUUUUUACAAAAGCCAACAAUUGGUCAACAUAAACAACUUUGGCCUUUAACACAAUAAUGGAAGGGUCCAUAUCAACCCGAAAUCUUUUUGGAUGAAACUAAUCAACUCUGAAAGUCAUAAGACCAUAAACACACAUGAGUGAAGCAUCAAAAGGGGAAACACGAUGUAAUUACACAAAACGACCGGUCUAGUCAAUACAUUCUUCCUCUCUUAAAACAAACGUUUGUCAUCGAAUGUGCAUAAAGACAUACCUAAAGUGAUGAAAAGGUAAGGAUAAUGACUCCACAUGUCGUGCUCGGUCUUCCAGGUCUCCUCCUCGACCAGAUGACCCAUCCAUUGAACCUUCACUAAAGCAAUGUUCUUUAAUUUCAAUUUCCGAACCUGUUUAUCCAAAUAGCCACCGACUCCUCAAUAUAAGUCAAAUUCUUGUCUAAUUGGAUUGAGCUAAAGUCUAAUACAUGAGACAGAUCACCAUACUACUUACGGAGCAUAGAAAUAGGGAACACCAGAUGAACUGUAAAUAAGCUAUGUGGCAAUGCAAGUUUGUAGGACAGCUCACCAACUCUCUCAAGGAUCUCAAAACGUCUGAUAUACCUAGGGCUCAACUUGCCCUUCUUCCCGAGCCUCAUCACACCCUUCAUGGCUAAAACCCGGAGCAAAACUCAAUCUCCAACCAUAAAUGCUACAUCAUGAACCUUCCGAUCUACAUAACUCUUAUGUCUAGACUGAGCUGUACGAAGCUGAUCCUGAAUCAACUUGAUUUUUUCCAAGGCAUCUCAAACCAAAUCUAUGCCUAACAACCUAGCCUCUCCCUGCUCAAACUUACCAACUAAAUAGCAACAAUGUUUCCUAUAUAUGGCCUCAUAAGGAGCCAUCUGAAUGCUCGAUUGGUAGCUGUUGUUCUUUUUCCAAGGCAUCUCAAACCAAAUCUGUGCCUAACAACCUAGCCUCUCCCUGCUCAAAUUAACCAACUAAAUAGCAACAAUGUUUCCUAUAUAUGGCCUCAUAAGGAGCCAUCUGAAUGCUCUAUUGGUAGCUGUUGUAGUAGGUAACUGCGAGCAGAACGAACUGAUCCAAAGAAUCCCCAAAAUUUAUAACACAUGCACGAAGCAUAUCCUCUAAUAUAUGAAUGGUGCACUCGGACUGCCCGUCUGUUUGGGGGUAAAAUUUUGUACUCAGCUCAACCCGUGUGCCUAAUUCAUAUUGCACAGCUCACCAUAAAAGCAAUGUGAACUCAUACCUCGAUUGGAGAUAAUAGAUAUCGGCACACUAUGAAGUCAGACAAUCUCGCGGAUAUAUAUCUGAGCUAGCUUCCCUGAAGAGUAGGUGGCCACCACAGGAAUGAAAUGAGCCGACUUGGUCAACCUAUCCUCGAUUAACCAUACUGCAUUAAAUUCUUCUAAAUCCAAGGGAGUCCAACAAUGAAAUCCAUGGUAACACGCUCCCAUUUUCACUUGGAAUCUAAUGUCCCUGAAGCAAAUCACCCAGCCUCUAAUGCUGAUACUUUAGUUGCUGACAAUUUAGGCAUCGAGCCACAUACACCACUAUAUCUUUCUUCAUUAUCCUCCACCACCAAUAGUGUUGUCUCAAAUCCUGAUGAAUCUUAGCGGCACUCAGAUGAAUGGAAUACUGUGAACUGUGGCCUUCUUCAAGGAUCAUGUCACACAAUCCAUUCAUAUUGCGCACACAUAAUCGGUCCUGCAUCCACAACAAACCAUCAUCUGCAAUAGAAACCUCCUCGGUAUCCCCGUGCUGUAAUGUGUCCUUAAGGACAAACAAAUGGGGGUUUUCAUAGAAAAUCUCUCUUAUGCAAUCAUAUUAAGAAGACCAAGAAACAUGUCUGGGCUCCGAAACAUCCAAUCUAACAAACUAAUUAGCCAAGGCCUGAAAAUUCAGGGGUAGUGGCCUCUCUGUUACCGGUAGAUAUCCCAAACUACCCAAACUCUCCACCUUUCAACUCAAGGCAUCGGCCACCAUAUUGACCUUCCCGAGAUGAUAUAGAAUAGUGAUAUCAUAGUCCUUAAGCAAUUCUAACCAUCUUUGCUAUCGCAAAUUAAGGUCUUUCUGUUUAAACAUUUGUUGUAGACUCCAGUGGUUGGUAUAGACCUCAAAAGGGACACUGUACAAAUAGUGCUACCAAAUAUUCAAUUCAUGAAGAAUAGCUGCAAAUUUCGGGUUAUGGACAAGAUAAUUCUUCUCAUGAACCUUCAGCUGCCGAGACACGUAGGCAAUUACCCUAUCGUAUUGCAUUAACACCGCGCCGAGCCCAAUACAUGACACAUCAUAAUACACACUGUAAGACCCUGUAACCGUAGGCAACACCAAUAUUAGGGUUGUAUUCAAAGCAGUCUUGAGCUUUUGAAAGCUCGCGUUACACUCCUCGGACCAUAUGAAAAGAGCACCCUUCUGGAUCAAUCUGGCCAUAGGUGCAGUAAUAGAUGGUAAACCCUCUACGGAACAACAGUAAUAAUCAGCUGAACCAAGGGAAUUCUAAAUCUUAAUAGAUGAGACAAUCUGGGCCAAUGUUGAACUACUUUAGUCUUCUUAUGAUCUACUUUGAUCCCCUCACUCGACACCACAUGACCCAAAAAUGCCAGAGAAUCAAGAGUUCACACUUUGAGAAUUUUUCAUACAAUUUCUUCAAGGUCUAAGGCACGGUCCUCAUAUGCUGCUCAUGAUCUUUUCGACUAUAGGAGUACACCUGGAUUUCGUCAAUAAACACAAUGAUGAAUGAAUCAUGAUAUGGUUGUAUUACACUAUUCAUCAAGUGCAUAAAUAUUGCUGGGCCGUUGGUCAGUCCAAAAGACAUCACAAGGAACUUAUAGUGACCAUGCCAAGUCCUGAAAGUAGUCUUCAGAAUAUCUGGAUCCCGUAUCUUCAACUGGUGAUACCCUGACCGUAAAUAGAUAUUACUGGGGCGUUAGUCAGUCCAAAAGACAUCACAAGGAACAUAUAGUGACCAUUCCAAGACCUGAAAGCAGUCUUCAGAAUAUCUGGAUCCCGUAUCUUCAACUGGUGAUACCCUGACCGUAAAUAAAUAUUUAAGAACUUUCUAGCACCCUGUAACUGGUCAACUAAGUCAUCAAUGCGCGACAAUGGGUAAAUGUUCUUCACUAUACCCUUGUUCAACUAUUGAUAAUCAAUACCAUUUGCAUUGAACCAUCCUUCUUCUUCACAAACAAUAACGGAGCACACCGAGGCGACACACUAGGCUGAUGAAACCCUUAUCAAGAAACUCUUGUAACUGAUCCUUUAAAUCUUUUAAUUCCGCAUGGAAUAGAAAUGGUUGAGUUCCUCGCAACAACUUAAUACAAAAAUCAAUAUACCUAUCUGGAAAUAUGCCUGGAAGAUCUGUUGGAAAUAUAUGUAGAAAGUCUCUCACUACUGUAACUGACUCAAUAGUAGAAGUAUCAACACUGACAUCUCUCACCAAGGCUAGAUAUGCAUCACACCCCUUCUAAGCCAUUCUCUGGAACUUUAGAAAUAACACAGCCCUGCUAAGAAUAUAUCUAAUGUAUCUCUCCACUCUAGCGUUAUUAGGUUACAACUAGUUAAUGCCCAAGAUAACAUCAAAUUCUACCAUAUUGAGCAAUAAUAGAUCAACUCUGGUCUCAAAACCACCAAUAACAACUAAACACGACUGGUACACACGGUCGACAAUAAUAGAAUAUCUAUAUGCAUGGACAUAUAAAUUGAAGAACUCAAAGAAUCAUGAGAUUUAUCCAAAUUCGGAGCAAAUUAAAAUGACACAUAUGAGUUAGUGGAUCCCAUAUCAAAUAUGACUGAUGCAUCUUUAGGUAAGCAUAAUAUUUAAUAGUAACUUAAUAGAAAUAGUCAACAAAAGUAUGAAAGAGAGACUUGUAAACUCAUAUGAACUUCCAAACUAGAAUCUCAACAAUACUCUUCGAAAAACUGGUAGAACUGAGUCAUAAUCUCUAAAUAAUAAUCUAGAAUAUCUACUACAACAGUGUCUGCAUAAGAAAACAAUAAAAUGAAAUGAUAAGGAAGGUGACUCCUAAGCCUGCGGACGCCGAACAGGUAUACCUUGAAGUCUCUGGAAGACAACUAACAAUCAAUCACUAACGUCCAGGAUAGGCAGACGUACCUGGAUCUGCACAAAAAGUUGUGUAGAGACGUAGUAUGAGCAAUGGUAACCAGUAAGUAUCAAGCUUAACCUCGAUAGAGUAGUGACGAGGCCAGUUCUAGGUACCUAGGGUUGGGUGCCAUCACGAUCGGGUUUGGGUCGUGACAGUAGACUUGUUCCAUGAUUCAAUGGUUGCACAUGACUUGUGACACCCCGGUUAGGGAUGUGUAGGGGCUGGAUUUACGCAAUUUGUUUUUAUCUUUGACGACCCGACCCGUCGUCUCAUGAGUACUACCACGUUCCUCCCAUUUCCUACUUUCUCAUGCUUUACCAUCGGCAGUGGGUGCAUUAGAAUUUAUUUGGAGCAAUUUUGAUUAAAAAAAUAAGACAAUUAGUCUCUUUAAGGAAGAAUUAGUUAAAAAAAGUCAACCAGAUGUUGACUUGUAAGUUAGAGGGCUCAAAAUUUAAUUCCGAUGAUUCGUUAGCUUUGAGGUAUGAUUUAAGGCUUAGGAGCCUUAUUUUCAGUGCUACCCGAUAGCCGUGGUGACAUCCUUUCCCCAAAUGGAAUGUCCUUCACAAAUUUCAGUUGUCAGGUUGGUUGGCCAAAUGGACAAUUGAAAUAAGUGAAUUUGAUAUCGAAUAUACGCUGGGGACUACGAUUAAUUAAUAGGUUUUGGCCGACUUUGUGGCCGAUUUCAGACUCAGUUUGCUGCCUUUAGCUAUGAAAGAAGCAGUGAUAGUGUUAGAAAAAGCAUCAGUAGUUUCGGAACUUGUUCACAGACCGAGCUUCCAAUGUGAAAGGGUCCGGGCUCGGGAUGGUCCUAAUCACAUCCCCCGGGAAAAACCCUUAGGCAUGCCAUAAAAACGGUUCCUUUAAUUAACAGUGGAUCCGAGUAUGAGGCAUUGAUUACAGGACUCGAUCUAGCCCAGAGACUUUGCUCCGAAGUCUUAGGGAUCAAAUGUAAUUCACAGCUGGUGGUAAACCAAUUAUAUGAGAUCUUUGACAUAAAAGAGGAACGCAUACAACAAUAUAUGAUUAAAGUUCAAUAUUUGCUCACAUGGUUCAGGGUGUGGUUGAUCAACCAUAUCCUGAGAGAAGAUAACAUAGAAGCAGAUACGUUGGCCAAAUUGGGGUCAUCCGUCGAGAUUAAGGGAUCAGUUUCCGAUAAUUUCUUUCAACUUAUGCGUCAGUAAUGGAUGUGGACGGUUAUUGUGAAAUAAAUACAACCAACCUAGUCUAGGACUGGAGGAAUGAAAUAACCGAAUACCUUCAACAUGGCAAGUUGCCCGAAGGAAUCCUGGGCACUCCGUACCAAAACAGCUCGCUACACCCUCUAGGGUGGACAGUUAUAUAGAAGGUCAUUACAAGGCCAGUUGGCCUUAUAUUUAGGAACCUCAGAGGCAGACUACGUCAUGAGAGAUGUUUACGAAGGAAUUUGCGAGAAUCAUUUUGGUACAAAUUUGUUGGUGCUAAAAUUAGGUAGGGCAUGAUACUACUUGCCCAAAUGGGACAAGAAGCGAAGGCAUUUGUUCAGAAAUAUGGCAAGUGUUAGUGCCAUGCACAGGUGGUGCACCAACCGCAGAACUCUUGCAUUCGGUAUUGUCCCCAUAACCGUUCAUGAAGUGGGGGAUGGAUAUAGUUGGGCUGCUGCAACCUGGUUCCGAAAAGGUUAGAUUUCUUUUAAUUUUAACCAAUAUGGGGGAUGGAUAUAGUUAGGCUGCUGCAACCUGGUUCCGAAAAGGUUAGAUUUCUUUUAAUUUUAACCAAUUACUUUACUAGAUGGUUUGAAGCAUGUCCUUAACAAAAGAUUGGUGAGCUACAAAUGAUCGACUUCCUGUGAAAAAACAUAAUUAUCGGUUCAAAAUAUCGAAGGAGUUGUCUGUGAUAACGGGCCACAAUUCAUAUACUCAAAAGUCACAAAAUUUCUUGAGGACCUGAAGAUCAAAAAGAUUACAUCUCCACCAUACCAUCAGAGCAAUAAUGAGCAGGCGAAAUCAACCAAUAAGGUAUUAUUCAAAACCUCAAAAAAAAGUUGGAAUCAGCCAAAGGCAAGUGGCCCGAAGAAUUACCGGGCAUGUUGUAGGCAUACUAGAUGACAAAAAAUACAUAAGAGACACAUUUCUCUCUCGUAUACGGUGCAGAAGCUCUAAUCCUUGUGGAAGUAGGAGAACCUAUGUCUUGUUACUUUCGAAUGGAUAAAAAAGCAAAAAAUGAGGAGUUGAUGGUCAAGCUAGAAUACUUGAUGAAUCCAUGGACUUGAUGCACAUAAGAAUGGUGGCUUAGAAACAGAGGAUGGAAAGAUACUAUAACUGGAGGGCCAAUCUCCGCUACUUUAAAGUAAGAGACUUGGUUUUGAAGAAAGUAACUCAGAACAUUUGGGAGAUCAACGCUGGAAAGCUGGGGCGAUGUGGGAAGGUUAUUAACAAGGCAACAACGGAAAGUAUACUAUGAAGGGAGCAUCAUCAAUAAAGGUAAGACCUUUAAAUAACAAAACGGUGAAACAACAAGCCACUAUGGGAUGGUUAAAUAAUCUUUGGCUCGAUGGCUAAGUUCCUAAAAAUAAACAAAGCCUUCCAUCGAACCAAAGAUUUUUCAACCGUUCACAAGUGUUUUUCUUCAAAGGAGCAGGACUUCCAGUGUUCCAAUUUGCAUACUUCGCAUUCAAACACGGGGGUGGGGGGUGGGGGGAUAGUAUGAGAAUAUGGCAACAUGAUUACCAUGAAAAUUGGGACUACGAGAUCCAGGAACAAUAAUGUUUCGUCAGGACCUGGGACUACACGACCAUCACAUAAAAACAAGUCAUACUAAUUAGCCAUAUAUAUUGGCAAUUUCUUUUUUUAGCAACUAAAUGCUUUUGUACUUUUAAAGAUGGAAGGAAUAAAAUAAAUUCCUUUUGUUUUUAUCUUAUUUCUUGUCCAAACGAUGAAUUGAUCUUAUCAUUAGAAAGUUAACUAAAAACUUCAAAUGCUAGUGCUGGAAUAAACAUGAGACAUCCUCUUCAAGAGAACCGUAAACCUAAGAGGGCCCUUUUUUAUGAAUCCUUCGUAGAAAAGGGCUGGCACCGUAAGAGUUUAUGCUCGGAAUGAUGAAUUGAUCUUAUCAUUGGAAAGUUAACUAUAAACUUCAAAUGCUAGUGCUGGAAUAAACAUGAGACAUCCUCUUCAAGAGAACCGUAAACAAAAGAGGGCCCUUUUUAUGAAUCCUCCGUAAAAAAGGGCUGGCACCAUAAGAGUUUAUGCUCGGAACUCAAAAGUUAUUCCGAUGCUUUAUCUAAUUCGAAGCAAAAAAAAGUGAAAUUUGUUCAAUACUUAAGCAAAACGUCAUUUUUAUUAUCAAACAUUCAAAAUGGUAUAAGUACUAAAAUAUAAAAGGAAAACAACAAAAGGAAAAAGGAAAAAUUGAAACUUCAUCGCCACAGGAAGGAAGGGAGGUAUCUACGCCCACGAGAGACAUAGGUAGAUCUAUCACCGGCACAGGAUCUUGACCUUCAUCAUCAUUCUCUUCAAGUUCCUCCUCAGUUCUCGAAUAUCCAAAAUCAGUAUUCGAAGAUUCAGCUGUGUCAGGCUUAGCUAGGAGACAUUUUCGAGUAGUUAACUCUACUACUCGAGCUUUGGCAAUUUCGUCAUCAAUAUCAAUGCCGCCUACUUUGGCUUCCUCCAAAUAUUUCCUUCUCAUGUGGUACAUAGAAUAAGCCUUUUCAAAGAUGAGGGAAUCUUGUUGGUGCUGGAUAUUUUCCUUGAGCCUAUCAACCUCGGUUAAAACGCUACCCCACUCGGAUCUCAUGGCACUAAGGCUAAGACUGAGAUUAUUGUGGUUAUGUGAACCAUAUUUUGAUCCAUGAUCUUCUUAUACCUAUCUUCCAUCUAAGCCCGUUUCUCCUCGACACUAGCAACCUCUUCGGCUUUGGAGUUCAAGGCUGCCAUCAAGUUUACUCAUUCAAUGGAGGCAAACUCGUGGUCAGUAGCGGCAAGAGUAGCAUCCAGAGACUCAACCCACCUAGCCUUAGUAUCUUGAGGUUAUGAGUGUAGAUGAGUGGAUUCUUGACCGUGAGCCAUCGUCUCCUACUUAAUUUACUGCAACCGGGUCUCAAGCUCUUCCGUUUAAGUAGCCAUUGCCUCUAGUACUGAGAGGCGUGCAUCGAGUUUCUUCCUCUUACCAAGAUGCUGAUCUCGCUCAAACGUGAGUCCUUAUUUAUCAAGGAUCAGUAUUUGAAUUAAUUUGGAAGCCAGGAAGUUGGCCUACAAAACAUAUUUCAAAGUUAGAAACCUGGUUAUAAUAGAUGAAUAAAACAAAUAGUAAGGGAACAAGUAUGAAACCACUGCUGCAUUGUGCAUAACAUUAUUCCACAAACAUUCCCAUAAAAGAGAUUGUAUUUUCUUCUUAUCUCCUUCUAGUUCCAGCGGCUACAGAUAGUUGGCAAGCUCCACUGACCCUGACAACAGAUUACACACUUGUGAAGCCGAUAGAGUGAUGCUUCUCCUCCCUCGAAAUUUGGGAAAAGACGGUAAGUAGUUGUGCCAAAAUUCCCAUGGUCAGGGGACUAGGGAGGGGAGACAUCCACUUCUUGGAGGAGAUAUAGUAGUUGGAUUAAGGCACAACUGGUAUGGAGAGAGAUGAAGCUGAUAGUCUUGUAGGUUAAGAAGUUGCCGCAAUAAAGAUAGUGCUGGUUAUUGGUUACUCAUCAACCAAAUGCAGAAGAGGCCCGGUAUCUUACCUUCUAGGAGCGAAAAAGGGAGAAUCGACAUUCUCCAAUAAAUCUAUUUCUCCCAAAAACGCUCGAGCCUCGCCCUCUAUUGAGGUUCUAAGCUCUCUAAAUUGAGCAUUUUGUUGUGCUAAUGAAGAUUGUUGUCUCUACGAAGGGGAGCCUCUUCAUCAUUGGCUUCCUUUCAUUAGACCAUAGUGGAUACGACCGGCUUGGUCAUGGCCAUCUUUAUUUUCUUAUUUUUGUUCCCGCCGAGGAAGAGUGCCACUUUUCUAGUUGCUUGUACUCUAGCUGGGGAUUCCUAGAGGAAGCACUGGUACUGGAGGUAGAUCCAAGGGCAUUACUCUAAGUAAGAGACUACUACAACAACCUUGCAGCCUUUUUAGGAUCAUUCAACACCUCGGCCUCGAGCCAGUUAAAAAACCUUAGGAGAGUCCUGAAUUAAACAAAAAAGGCAUGGUUAGCAAAAUGUGCUACUGUAUAUGCAUAAGAUGAAAGUAGAAAGAGCUAGUUUACCAUGGUUCUUGGCCUUGCACCCACAUUGGGGUCCAACUCCUUCCACCGACGGGUAUCUGGAAUAGUACUAUCUAAAAUCUUCUGAAUCAAUUAGUGGUGUCCUUCGAGUAGCUGAAAUAAUGGAAGCAAAGGGUUAGCAAUAACAUGGAACAUCUUUUAUGGAGAAAGAGAUAGGUUGAAAACUUAUGCGGAUGACUCCAUGAUUCCAAAAAGGAUGAAGUUAUGGCCGGGAUAAUAUCUUGGGUAGCCAUGAUGACUAACUACUCCUGUAACAAGGCGACCAGUCAUUCUGAGCUCUAGUAUAGUUUUCGGCGCUUUGAGGGCAUGAAUAGCUUCACCUCAAGUAUUACGACUUGUACUCAUAGUUGGAAUUGAAAUUUGGGAAGUUCGAAGCUGAUUUGGAAAGAAAAUUCUUAUUUCGGAAGUUCUAAGUUGGAAGAAUUGACUAAGCUUUGAUUUUUAAGUAAAUGGCCUUAGAAUCGGCGUUAGAAGGUUCCAACAAGUGUGUAUGCUAAUAUUGGACUUGGAAGUAUACUCGGAUUAGGUUUUGGAUGACCCGGGAGAAUUUCAGCGCCUGUUGUGGAAAGUUGGUAUUUAGAAAAAAUUUCAUAAAUUUGGAUUGAAAUACAUUUCAAUGUUAUCAAAGUCCCUUUUGGUAUUCUGAGUAUGGGAGAAUAUUUGUAUGUUUUUUCUGCUAUUCGGAACGCGUCCGGAUGUGGAUUUGGAGAUGUGUAGAUCAUUUCAGAGUCAUUUGGUGAAAUUAAAAAAUUUAAAGGUUUUUGAGAAGUUUGACCGGGAGUGGACCUUUUAAUAUUAGGGUUGUAUUUUGAUUCCGGAAUUUAGAGUAGGUCCGUAAUUUUGAAUGUUACUUGUGUGAAAAAAUUUGAUGUCAAUGGAACGUGAUUUGAUAGAUUUCAGCAUCGAAUGUAGAAGUUUGAAGUUCUAAAGUUCAUUAAGCUUUAAUUGGGUUAAUUCAUGAUUUCGAUGUGCUUUUAUGUGAUUUGAAGGCUCCACUAAGUCGUAAUUUGUUUUGAAAUAUGUUGAUAUAAUUGGUUGAGGUCCCGAUGGUCUCGGGUGGAUUCCGGAGGUUCAACAGAUCGAGUUUGGACUAGGAAAAAGUGAUGAAGCAGCAGUCAUCUGGUGUAACCACACCUGCGAAGUUUAAGCCAUAGGUGCGGAGCCACGGAAGCAGCCAUGAGGGUCGCAUAAGCGAUUCUGGCUGGGGAAAGUUGGGACCACAGAUGGGGUCGAGUUAAUUAGAAGCAGGACCACACCCGUGAACAUGAGAUCAUAGUAGCGAAGGCGCAGAAUCAUCGUUGGGGCCGCAGAUGCGGAGUUGAGUGGCCUGAAGGAGGACCACAAAAACGAUAUUUUUGGACGCACCUGCCGAACCACAGAAACGGUCAAGUGACUACAAGUGCGAAAAAGUUGUCGCACCCCCUUAUUUCUCGCAAAAUUGGGUUUAUGAAAUUUGGAGGGAUAACUCGUUCCUUUUGGGAACAGGGUUUGCAUUUGAAGAGUCGCGACUUAACGAUUAUGGUGCAUAAGGACACCAAUAGAGAUUCAACUUUGAGUUUGUUUGAAUAACUAGAGAUUGGGUAUGGUCUUGAAAUUAUCAUAAGGGGAAGGUGUUAGAAACCCCUCAGGAUCCACUAGUGUGGUUCUCGACCAGACAGUUAUUGUGAAUUUAGGAAAAAGAUAGGUAUGGACUCAAAUAUUAGGGGAUUUAAACACAUAAAAGAAAGAACAUUUGAAAGAAGAGUUUUAAAAAGAAAGAGUUUGCAAAUAAAAGGAAAGGGGGUCCUAGGCUUGUAUUUAAUAUGGAUCACCCUACACAAUGUCCGAUAAUCACUCCUCAGUGAGGGGCUACACGUGACAUGGUCGCUAGUCAUCAUAUCCAUAUCUACCCUUCUUACACCAUUAAGGUGUUAAAGCACGGAUUCGUCUCGAUUGCUUAUUGCAUGCUAUUACCCAUCUCAUUCCUAUCAGUCCAAGAGGCACUUAGGAGUACUAAUACUAAAAGGGAGGCAUAAAGGCUUAUUUGAAGUUUCAAAGGUAAAACUUCUAAGGCGACAUACAAAACAUAUAAAAACUGCACACUCAAGGGGAAACACAUCAAGAUAUUAGGCUCAAUUAUACCUCCUCCAAACAAAAACAUUCCAAUAGCACGCCUUAAACAAAUGAGUAAGGUCUUAUUCUAAAAAAAAUACUUGAGGGAAGAGGAGAUUGUUGUGUUGCAGUAGGCCUAGCUUAUUGCAUGACUCAGUUAGGAAACAGAAUCAGGCCUACCUACUGAUUGUAACACUUAAACAAAUAACAGAGGCGAGUUCAAUUGUCAAAUGCUUGCGUAAAUGUUUAGGUGAGACCUUAGAAGCAUGAUAUCUAUUAUUGGUUCCGAACAGACUGAUUUUAAAAUGGACCAGUUUCAAAUUCUGCAUGUGAUGGCAUCUAUUAUCGCUAAUUUAAAUCAUAUGAACAUGAUAUCUAUCAUUGAGUGGUAAUGAAGCGAGUCAAAAUUAUUGAAGAAUGCCUAUAGGCAUAAUUUCUAUGUGUUACUGAUACUAGAUCUUUAUAGACAUGGUACCUAACAUUGCAUGUGAGUAGAAACGAACGUGAUUUUACUUAUGAACCCCUAUAAGUAUGAUUUCUAUAUGUAUCUGAUUUUAAGAGGUUACUCGAUUAUAACCACUUGGCCUUUAAAAUAUGAUAUCUAAAUUGUGACAGAUGUGCAAAAUUUUAGAUUUUCCCUAUAGGCAUGUUAUCCAGAUGUGAAGUUGAUCACGAAGUCCUUUAGAAAUGGUUUCAAAAUGUUUGAAUAUGCAGAAAUUUAAAAUAGUCAUAUGGACAUGGUUUCUACCCUUGACAUACAAAAAUACGCAACCCUUUUCACUAGCGAGCCCCAAACAUUUAUUGCAAAUUAUUACAAACUUGGAAUAUUAAAUACAUCAAAAUACAAUUAGAGGAGGCCCGAAUUUUGGUUCCUCCUUGAGCUAUGGAAUAACUGCCUUAGAAUGCCAUUGCUUCAAAGCCUUUCUCAAAUUUGAGGGUGUCAGAGUUCCUUAAGAGCCUCAAUAGGACCUCAGGCAGUUCUCACACCCAAAUUACAUCACCAGAAUAGGGACAAGUACUAUGUGGAAAUGCCAACCCUAUUGUGUCCAAGAUCAGAGGGAGAUCCCAUAGGAAGGCUCACAUGAGGGGGGUAGAACUUAAGUCUAAGAGAGAGUAGAAGUGUAGAAACUGAGUUUUAAAAGCUGAGGGAACAAAGUAAAGGGAAAGGGCGAUGGGAGACAACCAAUAGUACUUUAACGAGUUGAUAAUUUCACACCAACGGGGCCAGGGGAUUGGGAAUCCAUUAGAAGGGCCUCUAUACUUAGGCAUGAGUCAAUUCUGAUGGGAGACAACCAAUAGUACUUUAAAGAGUUGAUAAUUUCACACCAACGGGGCCAGGGGAUUGGGAAUCCAUUAGAAGGGCCUCUAUACUUAGGCAUGAGUCAAUUCUACGUAUGUACAACAAUACGGGUGCUGUCGUGCUUGUAAAUCAACCAGAACACACAACAUAUAAGAGUAACAUGGAGGUUAUGAUCCUAGGAGGACGAAGUUUGAGUUUUGUUCAACAAUAUUCGAUAUUGUCAUGCCCGAAAUAAACCAUAAGUAUCAAACACAUUGGAGUGGGAUUUAAGAUUCAUAAAUUGAUUUGAAAUAGGAGAAAGAAGUUACAUCAUGCUAAAUGAAGGUACUGAAUUAGACACAAGCAGUAGGUAGACAAGAAUGGAAGAAAAUUAAGUAACCAUGUUGUUGUUGAUGCUGAAAAAUUAAUUAGAACACUGUUGAUACUCAAUUUUCCACGUAUAUAUUUUAUAUGCAAAAUACCUUUCAAAAUAUCAUGUAUAUGCAUAUGCAAGUAUGUCCUAAGGUCCUAUCAUUUUUCUCAAAUUUUUAAGAUUUUAAAAUCAAUUUUAUUGCCCUAUUUUAUCAAGAAAAAACCAAUAAUUACUUCCCAAAUUAACAAUUUUGUUAAUUCAUUUAUUUUAUUCUCAUAUCUAUACUAAAAUAUAGCAAACAUAUUGUUUUCACAUUUUUACAAAUUUAUUUAGUAUUUUUAAAAACUAAAUUUCAUAUAAUUGCAAUAUUAGCCUAUUUUAAGAUUGAACUGCGUUUGUAAUUAAAAAAUUAACUCCAACAUUUUUAAUUUAGUAUUUAUAUAUUUUAAAUUAUAUUAGUACUUUUAAUUUGUUUCCAGAAAUUAUCUUACUAUUUUUUAUAAAAUAAAUAAGGGAAAAUGACUAUUUAAAUGUUAGCCUAUUUUUUUUUUUUGGCCAGAUUUGGCACCCCUAGUUCAACCCAAUUUCAAUUUCAAUUCCCAGGCCAGAUUCCUAAAAUCACCCAGCCCACGACCUUUUAAAAUAACCCCCGACCACCUUUAGAUCACUGCCAUUUAUCUAACAGAUCAACGACUCAUAUUUUUCCUUUCCUUUUUAAUUCACCAAUGCCCCCUACACCUAAUCAUUUGUCACCUACAACCGCCUCUGGAUUCCCUAUCCACUCAACUCUAUCUCAAUCGCUCUCAGAAACCCUAGCCGCCAUCUUUAUUUCCACCCCAAAGCCAUCAGAAUCCAUGGCUUCCAAGGCCAUUGGAGUCCUACAUCGGCCUCUUUUAACUCCUACACACCUGGUUUCUGAAGAUUUAAGGCCAAAUCAUGAAGAAGCUUGGUCCGGGCAUCGUUUGAUUCAAGUUCCAUGGCCGUCUCCGGUCUUGCUCCAACACACCAUGGCUGUUCGAGCAUGACCUCGACCUCUCCUGCUCAGAUCAACGACUGCCCAAGCCUUUCUCACCAUUUGGGUUUCUCUGAAAACCCUAGCUUUGAGGUUUUUCUGAUCUCUUUAGAUCUGUUCCAGAUCUAUGCUUUCCCUAAGUUUUUAAAAACUAUUUUCUGGGUUUUCUUUCAAAAACUAUACUCUUAAAACCAUCUCUUUUUUCUAAUCUAGGGUUUUUCUGAGAUAUUUGGAUACUUCUCUGAUUUUUUCUACUGUGUUUUCCUCUACUAUGUUGUUGUGUGUUUCUUCUACUCUAUUUUGCUCUAUUGUAUUCUUGUGUGUUUCUUCUACUGUAUUUUUCUAUAUUGUGUUCUUCUGUGUGUUUCUUAUUAAGUUACCUCUAGUGUGAUCUAGUUAAGUUUCUUCUAAUAUGCUUCUCCUACCGUUAUUAUCAAUUUUUUCCAUUAUGUUUCUUAUCAGUUCCUCUACUAUGUUCCUUUAAGUUUCUCUAUUAUGUUUCGCAUUUUGUUCUUUUAGUAUGAUGUUCAUGGAUUUAUGCUACUAAAAACUCUAUUAUGUUUGGCAUGUUGUUCUUUUACUAUGAUGUUCAUGGAUUUCUGCUACUAAAAGUAAUGUCAAGUGUCUCAGUUUAUUUAUAAGACCUCUAAACCUGUUUCAAGUAAUAUCUUUUACCCUAAUCACUUGCACUUUCAUCUCUGCAUUCGGUUAGUGGCAAGAACCCUAAAUUUUGGGGUUCAUCCAAGUUUUGAGACCCCUGGCUAUGUGAUUUGCUGACUCUUCAUCUACUGCUUUCAGAAUUUUUGUUUCAAAUUUGUUUCUUCAUACGCCUUCGACUUUUGCCAAAUUCUAUAAGACCUUUUACUUGAUCCCUUCUCGCAUUCCUUUGUUUCAAAUUUGUUUCUUCAUAUGCCUACGACUUUUGCCAAAUUCUAUAAGACCUUUUACUUGAUCCCUUGUCGCAUUCCUGAUGUUUGCAAGUUCUUCAUAUGUGAUGAGCUUCCCUCUAAAAUGUCAUUCAAAUGUGUGAUUAUUUCAGACCACUUUCUGAAUUGGUCUGAUUUAUUUAUUUCCUUCUUUGCUGAUUUCCUAUGAUUCGACUUAAGUUAAAACCUUUCUCAGCUUUUCUGACAUGGUUCAUUCAUGGACCAGUAAUUACAAGAUGCAUGACCUAGUUCUCGCUCCCAUCUCAUUCUCUGGUCACGUAUUCGUCCUAUCUUUUCUAGUUCUCGCUCAUGGAUGCUUCUGUUCGCGCUUAGUCAAUUUUCAAGGAAAGAUGCAAGAAGACUCUACAGGCGCUGGAGUGAAGUGAUCCCCACCCGGGAAUCACGAACGGAGCUGUCCUUCUUCUCUAAAAGUAAGGGACUAGGGCUCUCAAGUCAGCCUUUCUCUAAGGCUAAAUAGCUAAAUAUCCCUGCUCAUGAAAGUGAAGAUUUUGAUGUCCACACGGCCGAAGGAUCCAAUAGUGAAUUCUUCUUUUCUUUACUCAAUGCUGAAGCUGGUUCUGAAGGAUCAAAUAGGUCAUGGCUUGGGGAGUCAUUGAAACCAAGACUUUCGGUUUAGUGUAUAUUAAAAAGAACAGAGGAAGGAAUGCUAUGGCCAUGCCUUGCCAUGUCACGCGACGUCCUGACAUGUCCCGACUCGUGUCCUGCCAUGUCCUGCGACGUACAGAUAAGAGGUUCACUCCUACCUUGAUGCUAUAUUAUACUAUGUGUUGGAAAAAUCGAAUAAGUCCUCAAAGACCUUGGAACGUAUACUAUUUGUGCAUUAAGUGGACAAUGUGACUUGACACUUAGUCACGUCGAGGGAAAUACCAAACCAUGUUACCGUACUAGAGGCUUUUCGGGGUGUCUCAUAAGAGGCCAAAGCCUAUGCAACGAGCGCAAGGCGUGGCCAUGGCACGAGCCAGGAUGUGUCAGUAUGUCGCAGGGCAUGGAAGGACACGGGUCGGGACGUGGGGAUUUUCGGGGUGUCGCUUGAGAGGCCAAGGCCUAUGCAACGAGCACAAGGCAUGGCCAUGGCACGGGCCAGGAUGUGUCAGUACGUCGCAAGACAUGGCAGGACACGGGUCGGGACGUGUCAGGACUUCGCAUGACAUGGCAGGGCAUGGCAAUGGCACGAGUCAGGACGUCGCAGGACGAGUCAGGACAUGGGCAUGGCCAGAGACAGAACGUCGCAGGACGAGUAAGGACAUUGCCAUGGCAUGUGUCAGGACGCAUCAAGACAUGGCAGUGGCACGUGUCAGGACACGUCAAGACAUGGCAGUGGCACGUGUCAGGACAUGGCAUGACACAUCAGGACAUGGCAGGACAUGGCAGGGCGUGACCAUGGCAUGACUCAUGACGGUGCAGGACAUGGCACGGCGUAGCCAUGGCAAGAGUCAGGACGUCGCAAGACGCAUCAGGACAUGGCCAUGGUACGUGUCAGGACAUGGCAGGGCAUGGCCAUGGCACGAGUGGAGACGUCGCAGGACAUGGCAGAGCGUGGCCAUGGCAUGAGUCCACUAGGACAUUGCAGGCGUGGCCAUGGCACGAGUCGGGAUGUAGCAGGACAUGGCAGGGCGUGGCCAUGGCACGAAUCAGGACGUCGCAGGACAUGGCAGGGCGUGACCAUGGCAUGACUUAUGACGUCACAGGGCAUGGUAAGGCGUGGCCAUGGCAUGAAUCAUGACGUCGCAGGGCAUGGCAUAGCGUGGCCAUGGCAAGAGUCAGGACGUUGCAGGACGCGUCAGGACAUGGCCAUGGUACGUGUCAAGACAUGGCAGUGCAUGGCCAUGGCACGAGUCGGGACGUCGCAGGCCAUGGUAGAGCGUGGCCAUGGCAUAUCUCAUGACGUCGCAGAGCAUGGCAGGGCAUGGCAAGGCGUGGCCAUGGAACGUGUUAGGACGCGUCAGGACAUGACCAUGGAACGUGUUAGGACGCAUCAGGACAUGGCCAUGGCACGUGUCAAGAUGCAUCAGGACAUGGCAGGGCGUUGCUAUGGCACUAGUCGGGACGUCGUAGGACAUGGCAGGGCGUGGCCAUGGCACGAGUCAGGACGUGCUAGGACGCAUCGGGACAUGGCAGGACGUCGGAGGACAUGGCAGGAUAUGUCCAUGAUACUUGUCACGACGCGUCAGGACAUGUCCAUGGCACGUGUUAGGAUGCCUCUUGGACAUAGCAGGACGUUGCAUGACAUGGCAGCAUAUGGCCAUAGUACGUGUCAGGACAUGGUCAUGGUACGCGUCAGGACAUGGCCAUGGCACGUGUCAGGACGCGUCAGGACAUGACCAUGGCACGUGUCAGGACGCGUCAGGACAUGGCCAUGGUAGGUGCCAAGACGCGUCAGGACAUGGCCAUGGUACGUGUCAGUACAUCGCAAGACAUGGCAGGAUAUGGUCAUGGUACAUGUCAGGACGUGUCAGGAUGUUUCAGGACGUGUCAGGAUGUCGUUGGCGGCGGUGGUGGAAAGUCGGGGUGGUUUGAGCAGUAGCGUCGGGUGACGGCCGGUCGACGCUUGUGAUUGGCGGUGGUUUCUUCAAAUCCUAAGCACUUGUUGUGGUUGAACAACACGUGAAGUGCAAUGAUGUUUGUGGACGUUGGUGGCGGUGGUGUAAAGUUGCGUUGGCUCGAGCGGUAUCCACCGGCGACGGUUGGUCGACGCUUUGUGGUUGGCAGCGGCUUUUUCAAAUCGGAAUCACUUGUUGUGGUUGCGAAAAUGGAGGUGUGUCGUGCUUAUUGGUGGUUGGUCAUCUAUACGGUUUUAUAAUAAUAUUAUGUAUUUUUCCUAUUUUUAGUAUAUGUUUUAGUAACAUUUAUGCAUUUUUUAAUAUUUUAAAUUAUUUUUAUGUCACUUUUUAAUAAAUAUAUUUACUCUAUUAUAUGUUAUUCUAUUACAAGUUGCAUUGGAAUUUUUCUUCAUCAUUUUUUCUAUUUUUAUAAUAAUUUUCAUAUUUUUUAGUAUUUAUUAAGUAUUUUUCGUUUUUAAAUAAAAAUAUUUCAAAAAAAUAUUAUUUUUUGUAAAAAGUAUCAUUUACAAUGUUUAAUAGUCAUUUGUGAAUAUGUUAGCCAAGUUGUACUUUGGUUUGUUCUAUUUGGUGUUGUACAUGUCUAUUAUGAUUCUCUGGACAAAACAUGUCUACUCCUGAAAUUUGGGUUUUUUUUUUUUAAGUAUAUAUAAGGNNNNNNNNNNNNNNNNNNNNNNNNNNNNNNNNNNNNNNNNNNNNNNNNNNNNNNNNNNNNNNNNNNNNNNNNNNNNNNNNNNNNNNNNNNNNNNNCUGAAACUUGGGUUUUUUUUAAGCAUAUAUAAGGGGGGUAGAGGUGUUGAAAGGCACCUCAGGUGCUUGCUGCCAGGAAGGGGCGGGCAUGCAUGGGGACGCUGGCAUGGGGCGUGGGCGUUGGGGGCAUGCACGGCUUGUCCGGGUUACGUCCUCGAUGUUCCCAAACCAUGACGGCAAGUACUCUUGUGGGCUCGUAGUAAGCCUGGUGGUGGCACCGCUCGUGGCAAACAUUGGAUUUGGCAAUGAACGAUGGAGCGUCAUGCAAGUAGAGCCUCAAGGUGCCGUGCGCAUGGGCUUAGUACUUGUUGAUCACCAUUGGAUGUUGCGGGCAAAAUCGAGAGGCGACAUCGCUCGUGGCGGCUGAUGGCCUUUGACAUCAGAACGGCAAAGCGUCGUGCAAGUAGCGAAGCAAGGUGCCGUGCGCAUGGGGUGAAGCUUAGUAAGUUGUUGGUUGCCAUCGAUUGUUGUGGGUUGUGUCUAGAAUCUCUCGUGGCGGCUGAUGGCUUUCGACAAAGAACGGCGGAGCCUCGUGCAAGUAGCGCCGCAAGGUGCCGUGCGCAUGGCGCAAAGCUCAGUAGAUGUCGAUUGCCAUCGGUUGUUGUGGGCAACAUCGCUCAUGGCGGUUGAUGGCUUUCGGCAAUGGAACGGCGGAGCAUCUACAAGUAGCGCCGCAAGGUGUCGUGCGCAUGGGGCAAAGUCAGGACAUGGCAGUGCGUGGCCAUGGCACGAGUCGAGACGUCGCAGGCCAUGGCAGGGCGUGGCCAUGGCACGUGUCAGGACGCAUCAGGACAUGGCCAUGGCACUUGUCAUAAGGUUUCAGGACAUGAUAGGGCGUGUCCAUGGCACGAGUCGGGACAUCGCAGGGACAUGGCAAUGGCACGCNNNNNNNGCGCAUGGGGCGAAGCUUAGUAAGUUGCCUAUUGCCAUCGAUUGUUGUGGGUUGUGUCUCCGUGGCGGCUUAUGGCUUUUGACAACGAACGACGGAGCAUCCUGCAAGUAGCGCCGCAAGGUGCCGUGCGCACGGGGUGAAGCUCACUAGAUGUUCAUUGCCAUCGGUUGUAGCGGGAAACAUCGGGAGGCAACAUCGCUCGUGGCAGCUGGUGGAUUUUUGCAACAAAAUGGCAAAGCAUCGUGCAAGUAGCACCGCAAGGUGCCGUGCCCAUGAGGCGAAGCUUAGUAAUUUGCCGAUUGCCAUCGGUUGUUGCGGGCAACAUCGGGAGGCGACAUUGCUCAUGGCGGCUGUUGGCUUUUGGCAACAAAAUGGCAAAGCAUCGUGCAAUUAGCGCCGCAAGGUGCCGUGCCCACGAGGCGAAGCUUAGUAAGUUGCCGAUUGCCAUCGGUUGUUGUGGGCAACAUCGGGAGGCGACAUUGCUUGUGGCGGAUGAUGGCUUUUGGCAACAAAAUGACAGAGCAUCGUGCAAGUAGUGCCGCAAGGUGCCGUGCGCACGAGGCGAAGCUUAGUAAGUUGC
rnacentral:lncRNA from 1 species